CUGCUGCCUCCCGUAGGAGUCUGGGCCGUAUCUCAGUCCCAAUGUGGCCGGCCAACCUCUCAGUCCGGCUACUGAUCGUCGCCUUGGUGGGCCAUUACCUCACCAACUAGCUAAUCAGACGCGAGGCCAUCUUUCGGCGAUAAAUCUUUGACAUUCAGACCAUGCGAUCCAAAUGUAUCAUGCGGUAUUAGCAGUCGUUUCCAACUGUUGUCCCCCUCCGAAAGGCAGGUUCCUCACGCGUUA
rnacentral:rRNA from 1 species